AAGCAUGCACCCUCGUCCCUCCCACCCGCGCGAUUAAAUAUAGUUCGGAGGGAACUUACAAAGUUGCUACACAAAGAGGCGCGAAACCAAUCCCUCGAAAAAAGCUCUCCAUAUUUAGAAACUUCUCGGUUCUCGCCAUGGCCGUUUGUUUCUUCUUUCCGUUCUUCUUCUUAUUCUUCUCUCUCUAUCUCUGUCUCUCCGUCUCUCUGCAUUUUUCAUCGCCAAAUGCAUGGAGCUUCGUCGAUGUCUCUUUCGGAUUCUGAUGAUUCAAGCCGAAUCAAUCACUGCUUUCCACACUUGGAUCAUGGAUUUGUGAUUCUCAACUGUUUGAAGCUUCAUAUCUUGUAAAGUAGCUGACCACGCAAAUAGCUUCCUGGAUUUAAUGUCAAGUGCGUACAGUAUUCGCUCAGGCAUGUUAUGAUCCUGUUUGGCGGUGCUGCACACUGUUUCAUUUUUGAGUUACGGAUGAUCAGAACCCUUGGUACAUCAUGGCAAGGCUUAUCAACUAUCAAGGUGAUCAUCUUCUCACUAUGGGUGGUAUGAAAUCAUUUGUAUGUUUCUAAAUAUUGAAACAUACCUUGUUAGCAUGAAGAUGAGAUGACGUUACAGGCAGAUACCUCUUUACUGAUAGUCUUUUCGCUUCUCUGAAGUUCUUAAUCUAACUACAAAUUCCUAGUAGGAGAUCCUUUUUAUUAAGGUACACAGAUAAAAUGAAAAGCCUAAGUUUGUAAGAUCCUCCCAAUUAUAUCCGAAAGGUCAUAAUUCUCUUGGAAAAUCCUUUCAUUUCCUUUUCCAUAUCUCCCACAAGAUUGCUCUUACUACAUUCUUCCUUUGUGAGAUGAUCAUAAAGAGUUCUUGUAAAGAAAUACUCCUUAGUUCUUUGGAAUCAUGAUAGGCAUGAGUAUUGGAGGGGAUGAAAUCUAAUGGAAACAGGCCAAUGAAAUUGCUACAAGUGAUGCAUUUAACAAAUAGUUAGGAAGUAAGUUAACUUUAACAGUGCUAGCUAACUUUUACUAUGCCCUUGGAAAAGAUAUGUUUUCUGUAUAGGUGGGUUUAGUAGGUUGAAUAACCAAUCAAUACACAGAAAUACCUAUUGGCUCGUUAGACACAACACCUAAUUGCUCCCUGAAAAACAACUAGCCAGACCAUAAGGUUGUUUGGGAUGAAAUUUUCAAAUUGCCUUCCCCUUUUACUUGGCUCCCUCCAACAUUGGUUUUAUUGUGUUUAGGUCUCUUGGUUGAAACCCUAGCUUCCCGAGGUAAUUCAUAGGAUGUAUUGACAAGGCGAACUUAAGUAUAGCUCUUAAGGUUAGAGAUUCGAAUUUUCCUACCCACAAGCCGAACUUCAGUGUAAAAAAGCUCCUUAUAAAUCAUUUCCAACAACAUUUAUCAACUAAAUCUCAGCUUUUCCAUGAUGAGUUGGUCAUAGAGGUAAUGGUAAGAUUUAUAUUUUUCCAAUUUUUGGGGCACUUAAAACUAUUGAUAUUUUCCAUGCAAUAAGUUUUAAACAAGGAACAGCCUAGUUGAGGUAAUGACCUACUGUGGUUUUCCCUUCCCUCCACAUAAACCACUCUGUUAAUUGAAACACUAACUGGAACACAGGCUGUAUGCUAUAUCAAGGGAUUCUAAAAACAUAGACCUUAUUCUUUAUACCUUUAAAAGCUUUAUUAUUAAUAUACUCGAGUUUUGAGCCCCUCUAAAAGAAUAUAAAAAUGAAAAUAAAGGAGAGAAAAGAAACAAAGCAAAAAAAGAAAAUGAAGCCUUAGUAUUUAAGGACAUGCUUUACGGUCUUUUCUGCAGUAUUUUGUAAGUACUGCCUGAGCCUACCAUUUACGGUAAAGCUGAUCUGAUUUUGGUUUGUUGUGUUUUUCAAUUUAAAUUAAGAUUUAGAUGUUAUAAAUUGCUUAAAAUUGUUUAAGCUUUUUAUUUAGACAAAGUUAACUAUCUUGUUUCGUUAUGCUAUAUUUUUAUACAAUAUGAUAUACAUCAAAAUGUCUUACAAAAAUAUAAAAAUUUUAGAUUUAUCUUAAGAAAUUUGUUUAUUAGUUGAAAUGGUCUUAUUAUACAUAUUUACAACACACACACACACACACACACACACAAUAAGAUGGAAACUCAAAGAAAUUAAUUAGAUAAAUCUUCAUUUCUUAAUUUUAUUACAUUUUUUACCCCAAAUAUACAGCGUCCGACAAUUUAACACCGUGGAAAAAAACAAUUUAUUUUUAAAAUUUGUUUCAUGAAAUUGAUUUACUAAAGCAUUAUUUAUUUAUAUAUUAUUAUUGAUUACUGGUUUUUUCAGCCCAAACAUUAUCUUCUAAAAUGUUUAUCAAUUAAAUUCGAAGUGAUUCCCUGUGAUUAUGAACUGCUGUUUUCUAAAUAUUAGGAUUACAAGUAUUAAUUGAAAAAUUAAUUAUUUUAAAUUUGUAAGUUCUUAUUUUAGUUUUUCAAAUUUGUUUUUAAAGCCAGUUCAUUAUAAACCUUCUCGUAUAAGUUUAUUUUAUUUUACAAG